UCUCUUCUAAAAUCAAUGGUCAAGAUCAAAUCCAUCUCUUUCCUAUUUUAUCCAUUAAGAACCCAAGCCCUAAAACAUUUGUCACUUCUUCCAACCUCCAAAGUGCCUCAUCCCUUUCUCUCUUCUCCGUCUUUCUCCUCCGGCCAGCGCAGCCAGUCGACCCCUCUCGCCUCUCCAUUCUUUCCGCUAUAACAACAUAAACAACAGUAGCCGGCGAGGAGGACAACCUCCGACCGGCGAAAGCUCCAGCGAGCAGCAGCCGCUAGACGCCGAUACGUCUCCCCCAGGCGAGAUCGACGGAGCAGCAGGCUCCACUGGCGAGCAACAGCAACCAGCAACGACAGCAAGCUACCUGCGAGGAACACCAGCAGCUAUCAGCUCCAGCGAAAUCUUCUCCGUCUCCAACAACUCCGGCCAACAGCUCAACGAAUCGAGCACCAACAAGUUCCGAAUAAAGGUUCCGGUCAGGCAGCGGAUUCCGGGGAAACCUUGAAGAUCGCGAGUUUGUUAGAGAUGGAUUUUAACAGAUCCGGCAUGUCUCUCGAUAUGGUAAGAUUUGCUAUAGUUUGGUUCCUUUAUUUUGCUUUUUUAUUCUAAUUGGCCGCCCUAAUUGAUUUUCCCAUUCCUUAAAAUAAUUAUUUAUUUCCUUGUGACUAAUUGUGUAUAUCUGCCAUCAACUUUUUCGUAAUUAUAGUAAGUCGAUUUCUUACUUUAUUUAUACUUGGUAAAUAAAUAAAUUAAAAUUCGAUUUGGCUCUCUUUUGAAAUAAGGAAAAUGUUAUAUUAAUUGAUUCCUUAAAUUAUUCCUUCCUUAUAUUAUAUGCCCUCUUCUCCACUAUAUAAACAACCAUCCGCUCAUAUUAUAGAGACGGAUGGAUACACAUUCUAAUUGCUAAAAAAAAGAAUAAACACUCUCUACCCUUGAAAAGAAAAAUAAGAACUCUAGUAGAGCUUUGGAUCAUUCUUUGUGGCAUUGUUGUGUUGUUGUUUCGGUGGAGAUCUCUUUAAAACACUCCAUUGCUGAUAAUUAUUUCUGCUUGAUUGGUUAGUUGUUUCUCUAUUAGUUUAAUUUCCGUUUUGCAUUGUUUCAAUUGUUGUUGUAUGUUUGAAAGAAUAAUGGGAAGCGUCUGGGUCAGUUUUCUUAUCCUUCCUUGCUUUGUGUGAUUAUAUAUUCUCCACAACUUGUUUAAUUCUUACAUGCUUGUAUGCUACUUGUGUACAUGAAAUAAUUAAAUCUGCAUACCAUAUAAUUAGUUUUAUCAUCUUGCUAUCGUCUUUUAUGUGUUAUGACUUGCCCGUAUUCAUUGUACUUUAACAGGGUUUUGAACUUAAAGGUUCAAGAGUCUCCUCGAAGAGAUUUCCAGACGAGACUCUUAUGUUCAAGUUUAUCUUAAUGUUGUAUAUAUUAUUUAUUUAUUCUUUGAACUUGUGAUAUUUUGUAUUGCUCUAACUCUAAACUCUCCUAUAUAUAUGAUAUAACUUGGGGAUUGUCUAAGGGGAGGGGUGUAUGUGCUAACUGUUUUCUUACUUUAUUUACGUACUUAUGUGUGAAUGUGUUUUGAUUAAAUAAUUAUUUGAACAUGGCUACUUAAAAUAAUCAGCAUGCUUCUAAAUCUAAUUAGAAUAAAAAAAAAAGGUUUUGUCGAUAUUAUUAUGUUAUCUAAAUUAUGAGCAUUAGUUAUGUUGGCCGCCUGUUUUAAUGUUAAUACUAAAAUAAAUCAAUAAGUCUUUGUAACAUCAUUUUAGAUGUAACUAAAUUAAUUAAUUUUUACAUGUCUCCCUGCUUUACUUGUUUUGAUAACCCAUUUUUUAUGUAUGAAAAAAAUUUAAUAAAACAAAGCUUUGCGUAAGUCAUUUGUUUGUGUUGAGUGAAAUAAAGGUAGAAAGCAUGCCUAUAGGACUCGAACUAAUAAAUUUUGUGUUAGUAAUCAAUGAAUAAUACCUGCAUGUCUAACGAAAUACUCGUAACUGUUCGUAAAAUUAGUUUGUCAUUAGAAAUCAUUCUCAUAAGACUUAAUUAAUAAAAUUGAUGAUUAUUAAUUAGUUUAAUAAAUUUCAGCAUGUUCUAAUAAUUCAACCCUGUUAAUUAAUGAAGUUUUAACCAACUUUAAGUUGCUAAUAAGUUUGCAGAAUGUCAACUCACUUAGAAGUCAUGCCUAUAGGACUAAAUAAAAUAAAAAGAAAACAUGAAAUAAUUUUUAGCAUAUCAAUGACUGAAAUAAAAUUUGUUAUACAUAUUUUUCUGCCACUUUAAAUAAAUAAAUCAGCUAAUAUUUCUGCAGCUAAUAAUCGGUUUGCCACUUAAAGUAAUUUCUGCAUUAGUAAACUAAUCUCCUACUACUAUUAAAAAGUAUUUCUGCAUGCUAUAGUAUUUUCUACCACCCUACAAUAAUUAAUUAAUAUAAACUUUUUGCAUGCUGUAAUAUUUUCAGUCACCUUCUAAAAUUAGAUAAUAGAAUAGUUUUCUGCAUUAAUAAUAAAAUUUGCUACUGUCCUAAGGUAUUUUCUGCAUGUGAUCACUUUUUCUGACAGUUACUGAUUAAUUUCUGCAAUAAUAAUUAAAUCUGCUAUUGUUUUCAAAUAUUUUUGUAUGUGUGCCCACUUUUCUACUAUAUUUUAAAAUCAAAUAAAUAAAAAUUUGUUAUGUCAUUAAUUUCUGUCCUUUUAAAAUCAGUUGAACACUAAAAUCUGCAUUUUGUAAUAAUUUUCUGUCACUCUUAAUUAAGUAACCGUGAUGUUGUAUUGAUUGUUAUAAUUUUGUAUGCCACACACUUGGCAUGUGACCUUUACACUCUAUUUGUGUUUGUCAGCGUGUUCAAUUAAAAUCUAGAGGCAAAUAUGAGAUUUACGUGCUAAAUGUUCGUCCUAUUUGUUUGACUUGGUGUCUAUGUGGGCCUAAUUAGGAGCCUUUAUUUUAUUUUUUAGUCUAAAACCUCCAACAAUAGUCCAAUGCCUCUUGGACCUUAAGCAGGGACGAUAGACACCUUUUAGGAUGUUAUGCAUGUGGAAGGUGGGGUAGGGGUAGUUUAGGCCCUACAGAUAUGAUGACAUCAACUCAGGCUUAAAACGACAAACCUUGGUUUUGUCUGUCCCUACACGGAAAGCCUAUCGAAAAAAAAGUCCGAGUGUUGAUUCGUAAAAACCUUCAGAGUCUCCCUUUCCUUUUGUUCCUUUAUUUGUUUAUAAUUAUAAUUGUUUGGGGUAGUUUAAAUAAAAUAUAAGAAUUGUUUGUUUCUCUACUUGUGCAAUUUAUGUCCCCUCGCUAUCUCUUUAUUAAUUGUUUAAUAAUUAUUUGUUAUUAUAUUAUCACUUAGUCUUGCAUGCUUAACUAAUUAAUUAAAAUAAUUAAAGUGCCCUUAAUUGCUUAAUAUUAUGUUAUCACCUAGUUUUGCAUGCUCAAUUGAUUAAGUAAAUAAAUGAAGUGAUUUUGAUUGUCUAAUGUUAGUUAUCAUCUAGUAAGCAUGCUAAUUAAAUAAAUAAUAAUUAAGUGACCUUAAAUGUUACUUGUAACCCCUACAUAAAUUACAUGAGAUACGACUGGGACUCACAUUUGUGGACCUCGAGGGAUGCCUAACAUCUUCCCCUCGAGGUAAUUUGAACCCUUACUCGAUCUCUAGUUCGUUGACCUUAGUUAGGUUUAGCUAGGUUAGAUAGGUGCCCUAACGCACCUUAAUUCGUUAGGUAGUGACUCUUCAAAUCAACCCAAAGCCCAAAAGAGUUAUUAGGUUGAAAGUUCGUUUUUGCAGAAAAAUUGGGCACGACAAUAAGUUUCCAGUAUGUUUUCAUUCUUAGCUGGUUAACAGUGAAAUCUUAUAUAUAAAAAAAUAAUUGAAAAGGAACUUGGUCGGUAAAAGUAUUGUAAUCAACAAAGGGAAUUUUGGCUGCUAAAAGUACAUAUAACGAAAAUGGACAAAUAUACUCCCGAACUAUCAUAAAUGAUAUGUCAAUACCCUCCGUUAUACUUUAAGGUUGUAUAUACCCUUACCGUCAAUAUUUUGGAUAAUCUAUACUCUUAAGACUAAUAGAAACAUG
rnacentral:lncRNA from 1 species